rnacentral:rRNA from 1 species
GACGAAGGGGGCGAGCGUUAUCCGGAAUGAUUGGGCGUAAAGGGUUCGUAGGCAGUUUUUUUUGUAAAAAGUUUAAAGUUGAGAGCUCAACUCUCAAAUGCUUUUUAAAACGUUAAAACUUAGAGUAGGAAAGAGGAUAGCAGAAUUUUACAUGGAGGGGUGAUAUCCGGAGAAAUGUAAAGGAAUCCCAGAGGCGAAGGCGGCUAUCCAGGUCCAGACUGACGCUGAGGAACGAAAGCAUGGGGAUCAAACAGGG